rnacentral:rRNA from 1 species
AUUGAACGCUGGCGGCAUGCUUUACACAUGCCAGUCGAACGGUAACGGGCCUUCGGGUGCUGACGAGUGGCGAACGGGUGAGUAAUGCAUCGGAACGUACCCAGAGGUGGGGGAUAACGCAGCGAAAGCUGUGCUAAUACCGCAUGUGAUCUGAGGAUGAAAGCGGGGGACCGAGCAGCAAUGUUUGGCCUCGCGCCUUUGGAGCGGCCGAUGUCGGAUUAGCUAGUUGGUGGGGUAAAGGCCUACCAAGGCGACGAUCCGUAGCUGGUCUGAGAGGACGACCAGCCACACUGGGACUGAGACACGGCCCAGACUCCUACGGGAGGCAGCAGUGGGGAAUUUUGGACAAUGGGCGCAAGCCUGAUCCAGCAAUGCCGCGUGCGGGAAGAAGGCCUUCGGGUUGUAAACCGCUUUUGGCAGGAACGAAACGGUGUCCGCUAAUACCGGGCGCUAAUGACGGUACCUGCAGAAUAAGCACCGGCUAACUACGUG